GGUCCAGACUUUGAUCAUGGCUCAGGAUGAACGCUAGCUACAGGCUUAACACAUGCAAGUCGAGGGGAAACGACAUCGAAAGCUUGCUUUUGAUGGGCGUCGACCGGCGCACGGGUGAGUAACGCGUAUCCAACCUGCCCACCACUUGGGGAUAACCUUGCGAAAGUAAGACUAAUACCCAAUGACGUCUCUAGAAGACAUCUGAAAGAGAUUAAAGAUUUAUCGGUGAUGGAUGGGGAUGCGUCUGAUUAGCUUGUUGGCGGGGUAACGGCCCACCAAGGCUACGAUCAGUAGGGGUUCUGAGAGGAAGGUCCCCCACAUUGGAACUGAGACACGGUCCAAACUCCUACGGGAGGCAGCAGUGAGGAAUAUUGGUCAAUGGACGAGAGUCUGAACCAGCCAAGUAGCGUGCAGGAUGACGGCCCUAUGGGUUGUAAACUGCUUUUAUAAGGGAAUAAAGUGAGUCUCGUGAGACUUUUUGCAUGUACCUUAUGAAUAAGGACCGGCUAAUUCCGUGCCAGCAGCCGCGGUAAUACGGAAGGUCCGGGCGUUAUCCGGAUUUAUUGGGUUUAAAGGGAGCGUAGGCCGGAGAUUAAGCGUGUUGUGAAAUGUAGAUGCUCAACAUCUGCACUGCAGCGCGAACUGGUUUCCUUGAGUACGCACAAAGUGGGCGGAAUUCGUGGUGUAGCGGUGAAAUGCUUAGAUAUCACGAAGAACUCCGAUUGCGAAGGCAGCUCACUGGAGCGCAACUGACGCUGAAGCUCGAAAGUGCGGGUAUCGAACAGGAUUAGAUACCCUGGUAGUCCGCACGGUAAACGAUGGAUGCCCGCUGUUGGUCUGAAUAGGUCAGCGGCCAAGCGAAAGCAUUAAGCAUCCCACCUGGGGAGUACGCCGGCAACGGUGCAACUCAAAGGAAUUGACGG
rnacentral:rRNA from 2 species